UCGCCCCUUCCCGCCCCUUCCCACCCCGCCUCGCGAUGACGCACUCACCGCAGCGUUCUGGAACUUUCAUUCUCGCCCCCGCUCUGCGAACUGCCCCGGGGAGAGAGCGGGUGGGGCCGAGAGAGCCCGCGCGCGGGAGUCCUCAGUUACCCCGGGCGGGGGAAGGGCGCGUCCGCACCUGCGCAGGCGCACUCGAGAGCGCGGCCAUGAGGACGGAAGGAGGCGGGGGAAGAGGGCGGGCGAAUUUAGAACCAACCAAUGACGGCACUGCUCGAGCUCUGGAUCGGGGCGCAACACGAGAAGGGAGAGCGCAGGGCCUGAAGGGAGGGGUCCGGACCCUGCAGCUCGGGAGAGAAGACGGAAGUAGAGCGAGGACAAAAUGGCCGCGAAGAAAGACAACUCUGUCUCCCCAAAGAGGAAGGUGUGUACAGUGGCAGGCUCCUUUCAAUUUUCUUCGGUACCUGCAGUCUCCUUUUCCACUCAAUUUACCAAAUAUAGUCUCUGAACUGCACCCUAUAUUUUGCAGCUUUUGUAACUAACCUCUGAACUACCUACAACACUUGAACCAUUUGAACCAGUGGAAGAUAGAACUGGGACCCAAAUCCACUUGUUUGGGGUAUCCUAUCUAAUAGCCAUGAUUGAAGGAUGCAGAACAGAUAACCUCUGUUUCUGGUCAUUCUCAAAAUGCUUUCUAGGACUUGGGCUAUGUUCUUAUUAAAUACAAGAGUCUGAACUUUAUAUUUAAAGUUGAGGAUAGGAUGAAUGUCCUGUCUCCAUCUCCUAAAAUGCACAGGGUUGCAAAUACAUUCAGUAUCUAAAAUUAAAGUUUGGACUUCGGUGGAGGAGUCUGAGACAUAGGGUUUCUCACUUGGGAAAAGAAUCAUGAUUAACAUUUUUGAGUGCCUGUCACAUGCCAAGCGCUGUUCUUAGUGCUGUGUAUACAUUACCUCAAUUCUGUGAAGUUUUUUUUUUUCAGAUUGUUUUGAAUCUCUUAAUGUUUACGUCUCUUUAUCAAAUUUAUUUGAAUCCCUUAGUGUGUACUUUUCUGUUGGUACUUCCCCUUGGCAUACAAUACUUAAUAUUGUUAUUUUGAUAAAGCCCUUAAGGGCUGGAACUCUACCAUCACUUGGUAUCUCCAGUACUACUUAGCAUCCUGCCUUGUGAGAAAAAAGUACUUAGUUUAUUUGUGACUAAAAUCAAUAAAUGAUUGAUCAUAUUCA